GCGCCCGCCCGCCCCGCAGCCCGCGCCCGCCCGCCCGCCCGCCGCAAGUUUGUUCCCCGCCGCCGCGGCCUGCGCGGAGAGAGGAUCGCGCGCGGGGAGGCGCCGAGGGGCAGCAAGAGUGGAGAAAGUGCGGAAAGAAGCAACAGCCGCUCCACCCGCGGGCGGAAAAGUGGCCGGGCGCGGCGGCGGGAUGCGGCGCGGCUAACGGUCCCCGGCGGCCGCCGGAGCCGCUAGGCGCAGAGGCAGGCUAGCACCUGCGCAGUGGGAGAGAGUCCUUGUCACUGGUGACUCGUGGCAGUAAGCACAAGGAAGAGCAAAGGGAUAGUAUGUCUCGCAAGUGUAGGGCAGGAGCUACAGGAACCAUCCAGGUGCACUGGCUUUGCCUCUGCAUCUUUCUGUGCCUCUGUCUCAUUCUGUUUCCAGCUGUGCAUGGAUGUGGAUGGCCCAGAAAGCAUGGAAAGGGAAUAAACUGGACUGAACUUCCUGCCCACCCUCUGUGACUAACAAGGGCCAUUGUGAUCUCUUUCCAGGUGGCGUGGACUCCUCCAGGGACCAUCUGUCCCUCCCAGCAGCUCCAGAGCCACACUGCCUUGGAAGACCCGACAGACAGAUGUCUCCUCCUUGACCCUUCUUUCUGCCAUGUCUUCAGUAUCUCUGUCUCUCCCAUUCCUACUCCAUUUCUUUUUCCUCUGCCCAUGCAAAAGUGGAUCAGCUGCCUCCUGGGCCCAUAGGGUCCUUUGCAGGCAGCCAACCAAGAGAAAAAGGAGUGGCUCUUGGAAUCACAGACCCAGGCUGGGAAGAGUGCGUGUGAUACAGUGGCCACCCCCUAGAGAGCUGCAGUGAUCCUCUCUGAGCCCUUCAGAAAGUGCUAUGACCAAACAAAGUUCUCAGGGGGCAGCAGCCAUUUCCCAUAGACGGACUAUGACAUGUCCACAUUCACUGCAGAUCAAUUAUGGUGGACCAGAUGAACUGUUAAUAAACCUCUUCUUUGACAAGCCACCUCCAUGGUGGCUAAGAUUUCUGCAGCUUCUGGCGGUGAAGAUCACAUAUCUAUCUAGACCUUCUUCACCUUAAAAUGUGGAGCACUAUGAAUGUGUCUGUUUUACUACUGUUGGCACAGAGUGCGGGUUUUCUCUGGCAUGAAAAUCAGAAGUUGUGACUCUGGGAACCUUCUUACCCUGCCAUGCCAGGCUAUGCAGCUGAGAGGCACAAAGGACAGGCCUUCGAUCAGGGUUUCUGGGACCAGUCUCCUGGCUCUCUUCCUGUCUGUCAGCCCCGGAUGCUAUCCUAAACAACAGCUCUCUACCUUGUGUCUAGCUAGAGAAAGGUUUUCUUUGGUUAUCUUCUUUGGGUAUCAUCUAAUCAAUGAAAUCUUUGUCUAAGGUAAUUGUGCAAGGGUUUUCCAGGAAGCAAUAGUUAAGGAAUGAUUGAUAGAAACGUUUUAGUUAAUUGAAUAUUCUGGCAAAUAAAUGUGACAUUA
rnacentral:lncRNA from 1 species